GGGGCUGGGGCUCAGUGGUAGAGCUCUCGCCUAGCACGUGAGAGGUGCUGGGUUCAAUCCUCAGCACCA
rnacentral:tRNA from 1 species